rnacentral:rRNA from 1 species
GAUGAACGCUGGCGGCGUGCCUAACACAUGCAAGUCGAGCGAAGCACUUACUUUAGAUUUCUUCGGAAUGACGAAGUUUGUGACUGAGCGGCGGACGGGUGAGUAACGCGUGGGCAACCUGCCCUGUACAGGGGGAUAACAGUUAGAAAUGACUGCUAAUACCGCAUAAGCCCACAGCUUCGCAUGAAGCAGUGGGAAAAACUCCGGUGGUACAGGAUGGGCCCGCGUCUGAUUAGCUAGUUGGUAAGGUAACGGCUUACCAAGGCGACGAUCAGUAGCCGACCUGAGAGGGGGACCGGCCACAUUGGGACUGAGACACGGCCCAAACUCCUACGGGAGGCAGCAGUGGGGAAUAUUGCACAAUGGGGGAAACCCUGAUGCAGCGACGCCGCGUGAGCGAUGAAGUAUUUCGGUAUGUAAAGCUCUAUCAGCAGGGAAGAAAGUGACGGUACCUGACUAAGAAGCCCCGGCUAACUACGUG